AACGAACGCUGGCGGCAUGCCUAACACAUGCAAGUCGAACGAGACCUUCGGGUCUAGUGGCGCACGGGUGCGUAACGCGUGGGAACCUGCCCUUAGGUUCGGAAUAACUCCCCGAAAGGGGUGCUAAUACCGGAUAAUGUCUUCGGACCAAAGAUUUAUCGCCUUUGGAUGGGCCCGCGUUGGAUUAGCUAGUUGGUAGGGUAAAAGCCUACCAAGGCGACGAUCCAUAGCUGGUCUGAGAGGAUGAUCAGCCACACUGGGACUGAGACACGGCCCAGACUCCUACGGGAGGCAGCAGUGGGGACUAUUGGACAAUGGGCGAAAGCCUGAUCCAGCAAUGCCGCGUGAGUGAUGAAGGCCUUAGGGUUGUAAAGCUCUUUUAACCGGGAUGAUAAUGACAGUACCGGGAGAAUAAGCACCGGCUAACUCCGUG
rnacentral:rRNA from 1 species